AUAAGUCCGGUGACGGUUUUAUUUCACACUUUAAUGACAUAGGUGGUGUACAAUUAAUAGAAGAGCAGUUCAUCACAGCCUCGUUCUGAAUAAAUGUUAGCUUCCUGCUCUUCUAUUCAUUAUGAGGAAAUACAUUAAAAAGGCGACGAAAUUAUCUUUAACAAGCAAUAUGUAAAAGUUAUAGCAAUAUAAGCAUAUAAUGGCAAGUUGGGAUGAGAAACUUCUAACAGCUGCAGAGAAGGGGAAUAUAAAAGAAGUAGAAUCAUGUGUAAAGAACGGAGCUAGUUUGGAAUGUAGAGAUUUU